rnacentral:rRNA from 1 species
GGUGAGUAACACGUGGGUAACCUGCCUGUAAGACUGGGAUAACUCCGGGAAACCGGGGCUAAUACCGGAUGGUUGUUUGAACCGCAUGGUUCAAACAUAANAGGUGGCUUCGGCUACCACUUACAGAUGGACCCGCGGCGCAUUAGCUAGUUGGUGAGGUAACGGCUCACCAAGGCAACGAUGCGUAGCCGACCUGAGAGGGUGAUCGGCCACACUGGGACUGAGACACGGCCCAGACUCCUACGGGAGGCAGCAGUAGGGAAUCUUCCGCAAUGGACGAAAGUCUGACGGAGCAACGCCNCNUGAGUGAUGAAGGUUUUCGGAUCGUAAAGCUCUGUUGUUAGGGAAGAACAAGUACCGUUCGAACAGGGCGGUACCUUGACGGUACCUAACCAGAAAGCCACGGCUAACUACGUGCCAGCAGCCGCGGUAAUACGUAGGUGGCAAGUGUUGUCCGGAAUUAUUGGGCGUAAAGGGCUCGCGGGCGGUUUCUUAAGUCUGAUGUGAAAGCCCCCGGCUCAACCGGGGAGGGUCAUUGGAAACUGGGGAACUUGAGUGCANAAGANGAGAGUGGAAUUCCACGUGUAGCGGUGAAAUGCGUANAGAUGUGGAGGAACACCAGUGGCGAANGCGACUCUCUGGUCUGUAACUGACGCUGANGAGCGAAAGCGUGGGGAGCGAACAGGAUUANAUACCCUGGUAGUCCACGCC